rnacentral:rRNA from 1 species
AUACGGAGGGUGCAAGCGUUAAUCGGAAUUACUGUGCUUCCCUCUCCCGCAGGCGGUCUGUCAAGUCGGAUGUGAAAUCCCCGGGCUCAACCUGGGAACUGCAUUCGAAACUGGCAGGCUUGAGUCUUGUAGAGGGGGGUAGAAUUCCAGGUGUAGCGGUGAAAUGCGUAGAGAUCUGGAGGAAUACCGGUGGCGAAGGCGGCCCCCUGGACAAAGACUGACGCUCAGGUGCGAAAGCGUGGGGAGCAAACAGGAUUAGAUACCCUGGUAGUCCACGCCGUAAACGAUGUCGACUUGGAGGUUGUGCCCUUGAGGCGUGGCUUCCGGAGCUAACGCGUUAAGUCGACCGCCUGGGGAGUACGGCCGCAAGGUUAAA